UAUGUUGGUGAUUUAUGCCAUUUAGUGGAUGGCUCGGCUCAAGCGCUGAUGAGGGGCGUGCCAAGUUGCGAAAAGCCUCGGGUAAGCACAAGGAGCUUUAGAACCGGGGAUGCCCUAAUGAGAACUCUUGACAUUUUUAUGUCGAUCCGUAAGGAUCGGGAACGCUCUGAAUUGAAACAUCUUAGUAGGAGCAGGAGGAGAAAUCAAUUGAGAUGCCGUGAGUAACGGCGAGUGAAAUCGGCACAGUUCAAACCGAAUUCCUUCUCGAAAGAGAGGGAAGAUGUGGGGUUGUAAGUAUGACUCAUAUAAAGCCCGCCCUAUUGAAGUUAAAGUCCGUUGGAACACGGCUCCAUAGAGAGUGAAAGCCUCGUAGGCGUAAGAUAGAGGGCUUGAGUCUUUACUUGAGUACCGUAGGUUGAAUUUCCUGCGGGAAGCUGGGGGUUACCAACCUCCAAAACUAAACACGUCUUGAGACCGAUAGCGUAAUAGUACCGUGAGGGAAAGCUGAAAAGCACCCCAAGUAAGGAGGUGAAAAGAGCCUGAAAUUAAAUGGCGAUAGAGUGAUAUGGCUUGAAAGUGAUGACGUAGUCUGAAGGAAAAUCUCGUGAGGGAUGUGUACGAAGAUUGCAGAACAGAGUUGUAUCGUACGUUCUGGAGAACGGGCCAGGGAGUAUAUCUCUGUGGCGAGGCUAACCCGUAAAAGGGGAGCCGUAGGGUAACCAACAGUUCGCAUCCUAUGUAUGGAGAGGAACGACGUAUGAACUGCGUGGAGUCACAGGGAUAUGACCCGAAGCCGGGUGAUCUAAGCGUGGGCAGGCUGAAGUUCUCCGAAAGGGGGAUGGAGGGCCGAACCGGUGAUGAUUUGCAAAUCUCUCGGAUGACCUAUGUUUAGUGGUAAAAGGCCAAUCGAACCCGGCAAUAGCUGGUUCCCCUCGAAACAUGCCGUAGCAUGACCCGGUCUGAGAUGGAUAGCGUUGUAGAGCCACCGAUUGGGGGAUCCGAAGUCGAAAGACUUCGCCCCCCUGUCAAACUCCGAAGGCGCUAUCGUCGUAGAAGACUGGAGUCCGGGCUGGGGGGUAAGCUCCCAGUCCAUGAGGGAAUGAACCCUGACUGAGGUUAAGGUCCCUUAGUGUCGGCUAAGUGUUAACACUAAAGAGCGUUGCAGACCACAAACAGCUGGAAGGUUAGCUUAGAAGCAGCUACCCUCUAAGGAGUGCGUAACAGCUCACCAGUCGAGGUUUGUGGCAUCGAAAAUGGAUGGGGCUUAAGCCGACCACCGAUACCUCAGGGAUCUGAAAGGAUAUCCUGUAGAGGGGCGUUCUGCAUGGGCAGAAGCAUCCCUGUGAGGGGAUGUGGACCGUGCAGAAACGAGAAUCCUGGCGAUAGUAGCAGCAUAGUCGGGUGUGAAUCCCGAUCGCCGAAGGGGCUAGGUUUCCUUGGCAAUGUUCGUCAGCCAAGGGUUAGCCGGUCCUAAGAUAUGUCCUAAUUGGAGCAUGUCAAAUGGGAAGCAGGUUAAUAUUCCUGCGCCAUUCAGCCUAUGUGCUUCGAGCACACCUGACGCUUCCGGGUAGAUUGAGCGGCGCUGUCGCGCCGUCCAAGCACCGAACCCUAUGGAGAGCCGUAAUGGCGAGAAGUAGGCGAAUGUGUGAUGGCGAAAGUCAGUUAAGCCCAGGAGCCCGUGAAAAGGGCGGCUGAAUGUCCGUACCGAGAACCGACACAGGUGCCCCUAGCUGAGAAGGCUCAGGCGUGUCGGGGAAAUCCAGCUAAGGGAAUUCGGCAAAUUAGCCCCGUAACUUCGGGAGAAGGGGUGCCUGCCUUGUAAAAGGCAGGUCGCAGUGACAAGGGAAGGCUAACUGUCUAAUAACAACGUAAGUGAUCGCAAGUCCGUAAGGAUGAGUACGGUCACUGACUCCUGCCCAGUGUAGGUAUCUGAAAGCCCUUUACAAGGGGACGAAGGACCUAUAAACGGCGGGGGUAACUCUGACCCUCUUAAGGUAGCGUAGUACCUAGCCGCUUAAUUGGCGGCUUGCACGAAAGAAGGAAUGAGCCUUCUACUGUCCCUAGCUGGAAACCGGCGAAGUCAACAUCCUGGUGAAAAGUCCAGGGACCCCCAAGGGGAAGCGAAGACCCCGUGGAGCUUUACAGCAGCCUGUCGUUGAGUUACGCCUUCGGAUGUAUAGCGUAGGUAGGAGGCGAAGAAGUGUUUUCGCCAGGAAACACAGAGCUGCCAAUGGAACACUACCCAUCCGAAGUUGUGACCCUUACUCGAAAAGAGAACACCGGUAGGUGGGCUGUUUAGGUGGGGCGCCAUGCCCUUGAAAAGAUAUCGAGGGCGCCCUAAGGUUGACUCAGGUGGGUCAGAACUCCACCGUAGAGUGCAAGAGCAAAAGUCAGCCUGACGUGACUUCGCAUAGCAGGAAGUCACGAGACGAAAGUCGGGUCUAACGAACCUUUACGGCUCUUUGGUAGGGCCUAAAGACGUCAGAAAAGCUACCCCGGGGAUAACGGAGUUGUCUCCAGCGAGAGUCCAUAUCGACCUGGAGGUUUGCUACUUCGAUGUCGGCUUUCUCCAUCCUGGCUGUGCAUCGGCAGCCAAGGGUAAGACUGUUCGUCUAUUAAAGGAGAUCGUGAGCUGGGUUUAGACCGUCGUGAGACAGGUCGGUUGCUAUCUAUUGGGGGUGUUUUGAGGUCUGAGGGGAAGCUGCUUUUAGUACGAGAGGAACAGAGCAGCGGCGCCACUGGUGUACCGGUUGCCCGACAGGGCAUCGCCGGGCAGCUACGCGCUAAUGGAUAAGAGCUGAAAGCAUCUAAGCUCGAAGCCAUCCCUAAAAAAAGGCCUCUUUAAGGACACCGUUAGAAGAACGGUUUGAUAGAGUUGGGGUGUAAGAAUCAAGGUGAAAACCGAGAUUUUCAGCCCGCAGCUACUAACGUCCGCACUAGUAAACCU
rfam:uncultured archaeon ANME-1, unordered contigs.